rnacentral:rRNA from 1 species
UCUUGGUCAUUUAGAGGAAGUAAAAGUCGUAACAAGGUUUCCGUAGGUGAACCUGCGGAAGGAUCAUUACCGAGUGUAGGGUUCCUAGCGAGCCCAACCUCCCACCCGUGUUUACUGUACCUUAGUUGCUUCGGCGGGCCCGCCAUUCAUGGCCGCCGGGGGCUCUCAGCCCCGGGCCCGCGCCCGCCGGAGACACCACGAACUCUGUCUGAUCUAGUGAAGUCUGAGUUGAUUGUAUCGCAAUCAGUUAAAACUUUCAACAAUGGAUCUCUUGGUUCCGGCAUCGAUGAAGAACGCAGCGAAAUGCGAUAACUAGUGUGAAUUGCAGAAUUCCGUGAAUCAUCGAGUCUUUGAACGCACAUUGCGCCCCCUGGUAUUCCGGGGGGCAUGCCUGUCCGAGCGUCAUUGCUGCCCAUCAAGCACGGCUUGUGUGUUGGGUCGUCGUCCCCUCUCCGGGGGGGACGGGCCCCAAAGGCAGCGGCGGCACCGCGUCCGAUCCUCGAGCGUAUGGGGCUUUGUCACCCGCUCUGUAGGCCCGGCCGGCGCUUGCCGAACGCAAAUCAAUCUUUUUCCAGGUUGACCUCGGAUCAGGUAGGGAUACCCGCUGAACUUAAGCAUAUCAAUAAGCGGAGGAA